rnacentral:rRNA from 1 species
UACAGAGGGUGCAAACGUUGCUCGGAAUCAUUGGGCGUAAAGCGUACGUAGGCGGCUUGGUAAGUGGAAUGUGAAAUCCCUCGGCUCACCCGAGGACCUGCAUCCCAAACUGCCUGGCUUGAGUAUGGGAGAGGAUGAGGGAAUUCCUGGUGUAGCGGUGAAAUGCGUAGAUAUCAGGAGGAACACCGGUGGCGAAGGCGCUCAUCUGGCCCAAUACUGACGCUGAAGCUCGAAAGCUAGGGGAGCAAACGGG